UUGGGAUUUUUUAUUUGAUGUUGAUUUGGCGAUAAAUUGAACAGUACCUAGCCUAUGCACGGAAAAUAAAACUGCACGUUGAGUAAAACUCAGUGGUAUUUCUAUAUUCCGAAUAACAUAAGCUUGAUAUAAGUAUUUAAAAUGCAAAAUACAACAAGUAAGCUAUGUUCAUGUGUUUCAAUUCAAUGGUAUAAUUUUUUUCUCAUUCCUUAUUCACAUCUACUAAGAUUUUCACAUAUUCAAAUAUAUAGGUAUACAUUAAUGGCAUUUUAUUUAACAUUUGAAUACAUCAUUUUAUGCAAUGGCAUGAUUCAUAUAUUUGAUCAAUACUUGAAUUCAUUCAAGUUUCACAUCUCAAUUCAUCAUUUCAUAUCUCAUUUCUCAUCUCAUAAUCAUUUCUCAUAUUUGUCAUUUCAAUAUUUCCUCAUCUCAUAUUCAUUUCUCAUCUUUUCCAUUUCAAUUAGAUAAAUUAUUAUUUUACUUUCCCUUAUUAACACGACACGGGCUUGGACAGAUACACGAAUCCAACCAACACAAUAGUUUGACACCCAGUGCCUCAUCGGAUAAAUCUGAAGUAAUAACUAAGCCUAGCGCUAUAUAAAUUGACACCCAGUAUCUCAUCGGUUAAACCAAAGCAAAUUGGCACCUAGUGCCUCAUCGACUCGAGGUCGAAGUAAUCCUUGAACUCUUCCUAUCCUAUGACAUUCCAUCUAUAUCUGACUCAGCUCGAUACAAUUAAUAAGGAUUCAUUUCACUUUUCAAUACAACCAAUGUCUCAAUUUCAUGAAUGUAUAUCAUCACAUAUAAGCAUAUAUUCAAUUUGGUAAAAAUCACAUUUUUCUCAAUACACAUAUAUUCAUAAUCAAUAUAUUUCAUAAUAUACAAAAUCAAUCCAUUUCAUUUUAAGUAUGAAUUUAAUUUAAUCUCAAAGUACCAAAGUACUCACCUCAAAUCCUUACCAUAUGCAAACAAUUAUAUAUGCAAAAUAGUCUACUAUUUAAUUUGGAUUAUAGAAACACAAACAGUGAUUUCCGAGCUAUUCAACGUUGAUUUUAUCCUUCCCCUUUUUACUUGAGGAUAUCGAUACAACGUUAGCUACGAAAUAAAAUAAUUAAAUCACAUUAAUAUUACACAUUUUAACUUCACAUUAAAUUUCAAUUUUCACACUAUAUUUUGCUUAUUCUUCAAUUUAGUCCCUAAACCGAGACUGAUUUUAACCUUCACAAUUAACUUUAUAUUUCUAUACUAAUUUUACUCUAGACCACAUUUAGCUUCCUCUUUUCCAAUUCGACCCCUUAAUUUUGAAAUUUUCACAAUUUAGUCCCUAUUAUUCAAAAUCAACAAUUAAUUCCACAAUUUAGUCCUUUUCUAUUUCUAACUUAAAAAUCUAUAUAUUUAAUCCUUAAUACUUAAACUACUCAACAAUGUCAACAUCUAAAAUCUUGAACAAUACUAAAAAUUACAAUAUGAGUCGGGUAGCCCUAAAUAUCGAGAUUCCAAAAACGUAAAAUUUACAAGAUAAAAACUAAAUUGCACAAACCAAUUUGGAUUUGAAUUUCAAAACCCCUAGCCGUGCAUUCUCUUCUUCUUUUUCUUUUUCUUUCUUUCAUUUGUUUAAUUUGCAUGUCUCCACUUUCUUUUCUUUUAUUAUAACUUUCAUUCUAAUUAUUAUUAUAAUAUAUAUACACAUUAAAGUUAACAUAUAUUAAAUAUAUAUAUAUAUACUGUCGAAACCAUUUUUUUGAAAAAUAAAAGUUUUAGGUUGUCGACUUUUAAAAAAUGAAAAUUGGGAGUCGCCACCAAUCUUUUAUUGAGGUGUGAUUGGAUCACCUAAAAAAACGGCUUUGGUCUACGAGUUUUAGAAAAACGGAUCCGGGAGUCGGUUACAUACGAGGAAGGAUUAGCACCCUCGUAACGCCCAAAAUUGGUACCUAGUUAAUUAAUUAAUGUCUUAAUGUCGAAAAUUUGAAAAAUAUAAUCCUUAGCAAAAACUGAAAAAUGUUACGUAUUAAGACCCUUAUCAUUUCAGAGAAAGAAAAUGCCACACCCAAUGCGUUAGGGCACGACAUUCUAAUUUCCUUAAAAAUGAACUAGGCAAAAAUACUCGUACAAUAAAAAUUUAAAAGAAUAUCCAUUUAUUCAAGAUUUAAGAAAUCGCGGCCCAAUACGUUAGGGCACAAUUCCUCUAAAGUCCCAAACUCGGAAUAUUUCCUUUAUUAUUAUUUUUUAGAAAAAAUCUUCAUUUCGAGAAAUCAAUGCGUCACAUCCAAUACGUUAGGACACAAGGUGUUGAAUUCCCAAUAAUGAGUUCUUAUUUUUUGAUUAAAGAGAAAUGCUCGAUUGUUAGAUUUAACAAAGAAAAUCAGAACCCAAUACGUUAGGGCUCAAUUUCCUUGAAAAUCCUAAAUACGAACAUUAUCUCAAUUUUGAAAAUUUUCUAUUUUUAAAUUCGAGUAAAAGAUGAUGUAACGUUAUUUUAUAUGUGCAAAUGUCGUAAUAACAAUGAUAACAAAUACAAUAAUGACAAAAAAAUAAUAUAAAAAAAUAAAUAAAAAAUAAAAGAUAUGAAAAUAUAAAUCAGCAAACAAAGAAAAAAAUAAAAAAAUAAAUGAAGAAAGGAAAGUGCAUAACAUAUACAUUGGAAUUAUAAGAAAUAAAAUACACGAUUUACAUAUAAAAUUUGAAUUAUAAAAUUUAUAUAAGUAUACAAUGCAUUUAUGAAAAUAAAGAAAAAUGUAUAAAUAUACAUAUAUAAAGUUUAAAAUAUAUGUGUAAAAAAAUAUAAAUAUGUAUUUAAGCAUUUUCGAAAAUAUAAAAAAAUAUGUACGUAUAUGUAUGAAAAUAUAAUAGAAUAUUCAAAAAAAAUAUGUAUACAUGUAAAACACAUUAAAAAUAAUUUAUUAAUAUCUACAUUAAGAAAAAAAAAUAUGAAUAUAUAUAAAUAUGAAAAAAAUAGUUGAAAGAAAAUAAAGAUGCUCAUAAGAAAAUAAUAAACAUACAUAUAUAAUUAAAAUAAUUACAUAAAAAAUAAUUACAUCCUAAAAAUUAACUAAUUUUAAGAAAGAUAUAAAAAGAACUAAAUUGAAUUGCAAAUAAAAAUUUGGGGUAAAUUCGUAAAUAAAUAAAGCCAAAAGGACCACAUUUGAACACGCAAAUAGAGGGGCUGGAAGGGCAAUUUUCCCUUCUCCCUUUUUUAAAAUUGUAGAUAAGUAAAAAAUAAUCGAAAAAGAAAAAAAGAAAACAAUAAGCCACCUUUAAAAAAACUGCCAAUAGUUCUCCCUUUUUUUUAUUGAUUCUCCCCCUUUUUGAUGAAUGGAGAGGCCUCUAUUUAUAGCUGAGCCUCCCCAAAUCCAACGGUACAAAUCAAUUACAUCAACGACUAAGAUUAAAGGGUAUCUACAAAUUAAAUCUUUAAGAUUACAAAAUCAUAUCUUCUAAGAUUGUAUAUAUCAUAUCUAAGAUUACAUAUAUCAUAUCUAAUAUUGCAUAUAUCAUAUCUAAGAUUGCAUAUCAUAUCUAAGAUUGUAUAUCCUCGAAAAUUAUGUUUCCAUAUGUGAGCCCGGGCUAAAAUUGGGUAUUACAGCUACCCCUCUUUGCUCGUUGUCGUGUAACAGGAACGGAGCAAAGACUUUAGUAAUGGCCAAUUUUUGCCCGGUCACGCUAGAUCUUGGUGCUCUUCUUCUUCAAGCAGCCACAUCCAUCCUGCUGCACCUUCAGAGGUAUAGGAAUUGGCGUCUCGAUCCACUCCACCACAAUAUCGGAGAGAUAGGAUUGGUGACUCGUAACUUUUAAUCUGCUUAACUGUAAUUUCAGAGAGAUAAAAUCCAUCACUCUAACCCACUCCACUACAACUUAGGGAGAUAGGAUUUGUUUAUUUAGUCUGCCUCACUUCAACUUUAGGAGGAUAAGACUUGUUUACUUAGUCUGCUCCACUGCAACUUCAGGGAGAUAAGACUAGACACGAUCUGCUCUCUGCAACUUCAGAGAGAUAAGAUCCAAGGUUUUGAUCCGCUCCACUACAACUUCAGGGAGAUAGGAUUAUCGGCUCUAAUCUGCUCCACUGCAACUUCAGGGAGAUAAGAUUUGCCAUCUUCAGUCUACCUCACUACAACUUCAGGAGGAUAAGACUUGCUUGCUGAGUCUGCUCCACUGCAACUUCAGGGAGAUAGGAUUAUCGGCUCUAAUCUGCUCCACUGCAACUUCAGGGAGAUAAGAUUUGCCAUCUUCAGUCUACCUCACUACAACUUCAGGAGGAUAAGACUUGCUUGCUGAGUCUGCUCCACUGCAACUUCAGGGAGAUAAGACUAGAUGCGAUCUGAUCUCUGCAACUUCAGAGAGAUACGAUCCAAGGUUUUAAUCCGCUCAACUGCAACUUUAAGAAGAUAGGAUUAUCGACUUUAAUCUGCUCCACUGCAACUUUAGGGAGAUAAGAUUUGCCAUCUUCAGUCUGCCUCACUGCAACUUCAGGAGGAUAAGACUUGCUUACUUAGUCUGCUCCACUGCAACUUCAGGGAGAUAAGACUAGAUGCGAUCUGCUCUCUACAAAUUCAGAGAGAUAAGAUCCAAGGUUUUAAUCCGCUCCACUGCAACUUUAGGGAGAUAUGAUUAUCGACUCUAAUCUGCUCCACUGCAACUUCAGGGAGAUAGAAUUUGCCGUCUUCAGUCUGCCUCACUGCAACUUCAGGAGGAUAAGACUUGCUUACUUAGUCUGCUCCACUGCAACUUCAGGGAGAUAAGACUAGAUACGAUCUGCUCUCUGCAACUUCAGAGAGAUAAGAUUUAAGGUUUUAAUCCGCUCCACUGCAACUUCAAGGAGAUAGGAUUAUCGGCCACCGAUCUGUUCUCUAGGGAACAUGACCUGUAAAAAUCCAUUCUAUGAACUUAAUUAUGCCUAGUGAUUAGGAUGUUAUGAUCAAAAUGAUUUCAAUGCUCCUAACUAGACAUGCAUGAAUGACAUUUGAAUGAAUGCAGAAUGUCAUUUUUCGAGAAUUAUCACUCAAGUUAUCAUUUCUCAAAAUUUAUUAAGCUUUUGUCGCUAACGUUUUUUGCUUGGCUAAACGCUUAAUCAAAUUGCCCCCUAUUUUGAACUUCAAAGCUUAAUCCAUUAGGACAUAAAAUUUGUACCAUCAUUCUCCCUCUGCAGCCCGAGGGUAGAACUGUAUGGCUUUUCCUCAAUCCACUCCUAUCACAAUUCAAGGAUACAGGAUCUAAAUCUUUCUGGUCUCUUACACCAUUCCCAGGGUGUCGUACCAAAGGCUCAUGCGCAAAUGAAAGCUCUCUUCCCCGAGGUAGCCUCUUUCAAUUGUCUGGUGAUCAUUGCUUACUUGUUUAUUUUAGCUUUGUCACCAAACUGACAUCUUAUCAUUUGGUUCAACCAAUGUUUUUGACAACAAAAUCCAAAGAGAAAGUCCUAGUUUAGACUCUUCCUUUUUAGAUUUCCAACCUUUAAACCUAGUGCGUUCUAAAUAAUAGUCAUGUUUCAAGCUUCUGUAUUAUUUAGAAACUUAUAGAGCAAUAUGCAAAACUUCCCUUGUGGAAGUUUUGUUAGUCCAUUAAUCAUUAUUCCAAUGCAACAUGCUUGCGAAAAAUGUCAUAACAAUGGAUAAGAAUAAAGUUAGUUCUGAGCAUAGCUCGAAAGGAAUAAAUUAUCAAAAAUAGUAAAGAAGGAUAAAGAAAUAGAUUGGGAAUGCGUAUCUUGGAAAAGAAUGAAGUAUUCCAAGAACAACAAAUUUAAAAUAAAUAGUAUGGAGAUGAGGUGCCCCAGAUAUCGCAGCUUGAACUUCUCUGUACAAACUUUCUGAAGACCCUUCUGAGUUUGACAUGUGUUUGAGAGAUCUACAGUACUCUGUCGAUGCCUCAAGGUGUUGCCUACUCUUUCCUAAUAAUUCAGGUAUAGCAAGAUCACCACAUGCCCCAAUCAGGUUAAAAUUUGAGUUGCUCUAAUCACCUCGUGCCCCAUUCCGAUCAAUAUUUGAGUCGCCCUUUCUGGGUUUUCAACUCAAAUCCCCUUUGGUCUCAAGGUGCCUUUUGCGGGUUUUCACUUUGGCCUCUCCAUUUUCCUUUUCUUUUUCUUUUUAUCACUUUUUCUUCUUUUUUUUCUCUUUUUUUAUAUUUUGAUUUUGACUUUUUUUUUGAAUCUGAACUCAUAGGAUUAGGCAAGUCCUCGUUAUCCCUUUCGAUCAGAAUCAAAUUUCUUUCAUAGAGCCUUUUGGGGCGAAAUUUAACUAACUUCGAUGGGCUAAACCAUGAUGAGCCAAAGAAGAAGGCAUUGUCCCGGCAAAGAAUCCUAAAUGCAUCGUUCAUGAUGUUAAUCUUGAACAUACUAUAAAUUUUUGAUAUCGUAUUAUUGUUCAGAUUACAAUGUCAGUGCUUACCCAAGCAUAUCCUGAUAUGACCAUACAAAGACAUCUUUGAACUCUUUGAAGUAACUCAAUAAGGUUUUGCUUCAUUUUUUCGAUUAUGCACGUUCCCUUAAGGUCACAAUCUCCAUUGUCUCCUCAUGAGGUAAGAUUUUAUUCCUGUUCUACCAUCCUCAACAAGUCUGAAAAUAGGCUACAAUCUAUGUCAUCUUUAAAGUCAUGAGAUUCCUCUAAACACAGAUCCCACUCAAAAGGAACUUCUGAGUUCGGAACAGCAUCGCUCAUGUCAUUGAUAUCUGGGGACCCAUAGUAGGUACCAAAGAAUAUACAAAAGAAUGUAUGAAUAAUCAUUUGUACAAUUAUGAAUGAAAUAAAAGAAUAAUAUGGGAGAAGAUUCGAAAGAAUGAAAGUAUAAUUAUUUGAAAAGAAUGAAAGAAUAUUGGAUUAAAAAAUGAAUGCAAAGAUUUAUUUUAUUAGAAUAACGACGUUCAGACAUGAGCCUAUUUCAUAAAGGAAUUCUUAUUGCCUCUAGGCUGAAUGCAACAAGUGUGUUUUGAACAUUACUCUGAGUAAUCUCUAAAUACUACAGGGGUUUCUUCUGCAGUCUAAUUAUUUAGAACACUCGCAAGUCUAUAAGGGCAAAAAUCUGACAAGGUCCCUUCUUCAGUUGUUUCAUCGUGAACACUUCUCGACACCCCUUCAUAUAUUGCAUUCAAUCAUGACUGGGUACUAGAUGAGCCAUCCAUCUUGACAAUACCCAUGUUGAUGAAUUUUUCAACAGCUUUUUGAAGGUAAUGCAAUUCUCUAUAGAGUGUCCCAUAAUUCCCGCAUGAUAAUCGCAUUGUGCACUUGCGUCGUACCAUUUGGGAUACGGAGGCUGUGGAGGCUUCACAUGUAAAGGAGAAACAACAUGCGCAUCGAAUAAGCUUUGAUAUAGCUCCUUGUAUGACAUUGGAAUUGGCGUGAACUGGAGUUUUUCAGUACCUUGCUUCACAUAUGAACCCUGCUGAUUAGCAAUCGAUUUACUGUACGUGUUCACGCUGUUCACCUCAUUUUCUUUUUCUUUUGAGGUUUGCCUUCUGUUAUUUCCUCCAGCAUCAAUCUUUCCGCUCCUUAUGACGCUUUCAAUCAUUUCACCAUUCAUGAUUAUGUCAGAAAAGCUUUUUGUGGCACUCCCUAACAUAUGUGUGAUGAAUGGAGCUUUCAAUGUAUUUAUGAAUAGCAUUGUCAUUUCCUUUUCCAGGAGCGGUGGCUGAACUUGGACGGCGACCUCCCUCCACCUUUGUGCGUACUGCCUAAAGCUUUCAUUUGAUUUUUUUCUAAAUUCUGCAAGGUGAUUCUAUCAGGAACCAUAUUUGUCACAUGACUGUAUUGUUUUAUGAAUGCCUGCGCUAAAUCCCUCCAUGAACCAAUCAUGGUACGGCUCAAUUGAUUGUACCAUUUAGAUGCUGCCCCUACGAGGCUAUCCUGGAAACAAUGUAUCAGCAGCUGGUCAUUAUUAACAUACCCAGACAUCCGUCUACAAAACAUAGUUAUAUGAGCUUUGGGGCUACUAGUUCCAUUGUACUUCUCAAACUCAGGCAUUUUGAACUUGUAAGGGAGCACUAAAUCAGGAACCAAGUUCAAUUCUUUAGCAUCAACCCCAUAAUAGCUUUCAGUAUUUUCCAUCGCUCUAGAUUUUUCUUCCAACCAUUUGUACUUUGCUUCUAGCUGUUUUGACGAUUCAUCCUUCAUUUUCUCUCUUCCAGCCAUUUCAUCAAAGUCAGGGACAGUAGGAUUAAUAAGGUUAUCUCCCAAGUUAGAGCCCGAUCCAACUUGAAAUUUCGUUGGUAUUGAAGCAUUGGCCUGUAAUUGCUGAGACUUAAUGGUGAUAGAAGAUCUGCGUGGAUAUACCUCAACAUGCUGAGGGGUAGAGCCUGAGGGAUAAACAAGUCCCUUACUGUCUCCUUCUUCAAUAUUGAGCACAAAGCCCUUUCCUUUAUCCACUCCUCCCGUCAACAACUGAGUCAACUUAUCCAUCAUACUCCCCUGAUAUUCCAUUAUUUUAUCCAUCAUUUUUUGUUGAAUUUUCUCAAGCUGCUUAUUCAUUUGUUGUUGAAGCUGAUCUUGCAUUUCCUUCUGGAACUGUUCUAGCCUUUGAUCCAUGUCCUUAGUUUCCAAACGAGUACCGUAGCGGCGUUUGGUAGGUUGAUUGGUUUCCAGAUUAACUGAGGAGUGAUUUAAAUUAAUUAGAAUCUUUUGAUGAAUUUUAAUGCUAUGAUAUCAUGUAAUGCGAAUGCACGAAAUGAAUGCAUAAAGAGAUGUUGAUUCUGAUUCAAUUCCAUUUAAAAAACUUUACUAGAAAGCAAAUCUCUUUACAUAAAGUGGAUAUUUAUACGGCUUGCCCUCAUAGGCGAAGAUAUUCAAUCCUCUUCUUCAUUCGAGCGUUAAGAUAAAUCUCACAAACUCUUCAAAAAACGUCUCUUCUAUCUCCUUUUUGCUCGAUCCGAGCCGUAACUUGUUGCUCACUCAUCCUCGUGAUGCUCAUUGGCUUCUCUUUAAGAAGGUUCAGCAGCUCUCAAAUAAUCUUUGUCAUCUGAAUCCUUGGGCAACGGAGCCUUAGUCGUGUAGUCCUCCAUUAAAUUAUCAUCUUUCUCUUAUCACAUGUUCUUGGACCAUAUUCGGACAACCAUAUUGUCAUCCCCUUUAUCAAGAAACCCAUUUCCUUAUGACAAACUCUCUAUUUAGCAACUGAAUGUGAAUCAACACUUCUUUUCUAGGAUGCAAAUGCAAUGCAAUCAUAAUAAAAAUAACAUAAAAAACAAGUUAGUACAAAGUAAAAGCAAAUGAAUAAAGUACCUACUCGGGAAACCACUAGGGUUUGGUGUAAUUACUCCUAAGGUGGGUAACUAGGGUUCACUAUAUGUAGUUUGGCUCUAAGGUAAGGGUACCUGAACUAGCAGAUUCCUCGAUCCUCACCCAUUAUAGGCUCAUACGGACCAAGUUUAGUUCAGGGGAAUACAUUUUCCUAUGGCUACACGGAGAUGAAAAUCUCACGAAGACAUAGGUACGGAUGUAUCCCGAAAGCAAUCCGCUAUCCUGCACGGAGGUGAAGACCUCACGAAGGAAAUAGCUUUUCACUUCCACUUAAAAGGGUACAAUCAUUCAACUCAUGUAAUGAAUAAUGCAAAGAUCAAUUAAGCAAGAAAAUGAAUGAAUGCACAAUGAUCUCAUGAUUUUUUUAAAAAAAAAUUAUUUUCUCAACAAUAAGACAGAAAUUAAUCAACUUUGUGGAUCAACUCUCGUAUGUGUCCCCAGCGGAGUCGCCAAGCUGUCGAAACCAUUUUUUUGAAAAAUAAAAGUUUUAGGUUGUCGACUUUUAAAAAAUGAAAAUUGGGAGUCGCCACCAAUCUUUUAUUGAGGUGUGAUUGGAUCACCUAAAAAACGGCUUUGGUCUACGAGUUUUAGAAAAACGGAUCCGUGAGUCGGUUACGUACGAGGAAGAAUUAGCACCCUCGUAACGCCGAAAAUUGGUACCUAGUUAAUUAAUUAAUGUCUUAAUGUCGAAAAUUUGAAAAAUAUAAUCCUUAGCAAAAACUGAAAAACAUUACGUAUUAAGACCCUUAUCAUUUCAGAGAAAGAAAAUGCCAUACCCAAUGCGUUAGGGCACGGCAUUCUAAUUUCCUUAAAAAUGAAUUAGGCCAAAAUACUCGUACAAUAAAAAUUUAAAAGAAUAUCCAUUUAUUCAAGAUUUAAGAAAUCGCGGCCCAAUACGUUAGGGCACAAUUCCUCUAAAAUCCUAAACUCGGAAUAUUUCCUUUAUUAUUAUUUUUUAGAAAAAAUCUUCAUUUCGAGAAAUCAAUGCGUCACAUCCAAUACGUUAGGACACAACGUGUCAAAUUUCUAAUAAUGAGUUCUUAUUUUUUGAUUAAAGAGAAAUGCUCGAUUGUUAGAUUUAACAAAGAAAAUCGGAACCCAAUACGUUAGGGCUCAAUUUCCUUGAAAAUCCUAAAUACGAACAUUAUCUCAAUUUUGAAAAUUUUCUAUUUUUAAAUUCGAGUAAAAGAUGAUGUAACGUUAUUUUAUAUGUGUAAAUGUCGUAAUAACAAUGAUAACAAAUACAAUAAUGACAUAAAAAUAAUAUAAACAAAUAAAUAAAAAAAUAAAAGAUAUGAAAAUAUAAAUCAGCAAACAAAUAAAAAAAUAAAAAAAUAAAUGAAGAAAGGAAAGUGCAUAACAUAUACAUUGGAAUUAUAAGAAAUAAAAUACACGAUUUACAUAUAAAAUUUGAAUUAUAAAAUUUAUAUAAGUAUACAAUGCAUUUAUGAAAAUAAAGAAAAAUGUAUAAAUAUACAUAUAUAAAGUUUAAAAUAUAUGUGUGAAAAAAAUAUAAAUAUGUAUUUAAGCAUUUUCAAAAAUAUAAAAAAUAUGUACGUAUAUGUAUGAAAAUAUAAUAGAAUAUUCAAAAAAAAUAUGUAUACAUGUAAAACAUAUUAAAGAUAAUUUAUUAAUAUCUACAUUAAGAAAAAAAAUAUGAAUAUAUAUAUAUAUAUGAAAAAAAUAGUUGAAAGAAAAUAAAGAUGUUCAUAAGAAAAUAAUAAAUAUACAUAUAUAAUUAAAAAGAAUUACAUAAAAAAAUAAUUACAUCCUAAAAAUUAACUAAUUUUAAGAAAGAUAUAAAAAGAACUAAAUUGAAUUGCAAAUAAAAAAUUUGGGGCAAAUCCGCAAAUAAAUAAAGCCAAAAGGACCACAUUUAAACACACAAAUAAUGUAGAGGGGCUGGAAGGGCAAUUUUCCCUUCUCCCUUUUUUAAAAUCGUAGAUAAGUAAAAAAUAAUCGAAAAAAAAAGAAAACAGUAAGCCACCUUUAAAAAAAAAACUACCAAUCGUUCUCCUUUUUUUUAUUGAUUCUCCCCCUUUUUGAUGAAUGGAGAGGCCUCUAUAUAUAGCUGAGCCUCCCCAAAUCCAACGGUACAAAUCAAUUACAUCAACGGCUAAGAUUAAUGGUUAUCUACAAAUUAAAUCUUUAAGAUUACAAAAUCAUAUCUUCUAAGAUUGUAUAUAUCAUAUCUAAGAUUACAUAUAUCAUAUCUAAGAUUGCAUAUAUCAUAUCUAAGAUUGCAUAUCAUAUCUAAGAUUGUAUAUCCUCGAAAAUUAUGUUUCCAUAUGUGAGCCCGGGCUAAAAUUGGGUAUUACAUUUAUAUAUAUAUAUAUAUAUAUAUAUAUAUAUAUAUAUAUAUAUAUAUAUAUAUUCAUGCAUUUUUCUAAGCCCAUAGUUGGCCACCUAUUUACCCACAUUAAUUAAGUAGCGUAAUUGCUACUUUAGCCCUUUUAAUUUAUUUCAAUCAAUAAUUCAACUUUUAAUCCUUACGCGAUUUAGUCCCUGUACCUUAAUAACUCCUAAUUUCAUGAAAUUUACUAAAUCAAUAAUUAAUUAGCUACCCAACUAACUUCAUAAAUAUUUAAUUAAAUAUUUACGAGUCCGGUUUACGAAAACAAAAUCCUAGAAAUACGUUUUCUGACACCCCGACUAUCGAGUCGUUUACACUGGGCGACGAUUAGGAAUUUUAAUUAUGGGCAUUUAAGUCCAUAUAAUGAAAUGUAAUCAAAUUUUUGGGCUGUUAAUCAAUCCUAAUUAGGUCAAAACAUGAACUCUAUAAAUAGGCAUGUUUAGCCUCAUUUUAGGAGGCUUGGCUAAGUGAGACACUUAGUUAGCUUUAGGUUUUUAUUUUCUUUCAAUUUAGUCCUUUAAAUAGUUUUUGUUCUUGUUUAACUUGGAUUCUAUUUUAAUCCAAGCUUUCAAUUUAAUAGUUUUUAGUUAUUUCUUUUUGGUUUCCAAUCGCAAUCGAAAUUAUCUUCGCAAUUGUUAAAGGAAAUCCCACUUUUGUGCACAAAUCGACAUCGAGACAGAUUUAUUUUCUUAUUCCAUUCUUAUAUUUAAUUUACUAUUUUGUAUGUUAAAUAUGAGUUUAAGGAAUAUUGCAUCUAGGUCCAUUAGUGACUAGUUUCCUUAGGGAGAUUAAUGAACGGAUGUGUGACUAUUAACGAAUAAAUUAAUGUUUAGUUUCGAGUUAGUUGGUUUAAAUUAUGUGCGAUUAAACCCUAGGAAGUGAAAACUAGGGGUGUGCAUUCGGUUAACCGACCCGAAUUAGUUAAAAUCGAAUUAACCGACCUCCAAAAUUUUUUAACCGUUAAUCGAACCGGAAUUUUUUAAAAAAAUAUUAACCGAACCGAAUUUUUUUCGGUUAAAUCGGUCGGUUAACCGAAUUAACCAAAAAUCAUAUGAUUUUUUUGGUUAAAAAUUAACCGAUUUAACCUAUUUAACCGAUUAACCGAUUUAACCUAUUUAACCGAUUAACUGACUUAACCGAUUUAACCGAUUUAACCGAUUUAAAUCACUAUAUAAUUAAAAACAUGAAACAUGAAACAUGAAACAUGAAUUGUUCUCCCAAACGAGUGGGGGUGUGUGUGUGUGUGUGUAUAUAUAUAUUUUAAUUAUUGUAUUUACUCUUUUCAUAACCUUAAAAUUAUAAUCGAUUUAAACAUCGAAAAAUAUCAAUAUCAAUUUUAAUGCUCCCGUAGCUCAUCUUUCUCUCUUUAUUUUUUCUUUUCAUUACCUAACAAUUCGACUCAAAUUCAUAUCUAUGUAUGAACAAUAUCAAGAAAUACAUCAAAUAUAAAACCAAUUUACUCUAUUUAAGCUUAAUGGUAUAUUUCACCAACUAUCUUGAUUAGCAACCUUGAGCAAUCACCGACAAUUCGAUAGAGCCAGCCUGGUGGCACUUCCAUUGGUGUUUGCUUACGAUGGAAUCAUAAAAGGAUAAUAAUUUCUAAUAUUGCGAUGAAAUAUUUUUCAUUGAAAAUAAAACGAACCCUUCGAUAUUAGCAAACCUUACAUUGAAAUUAAAUUUGAUUUUGACUGUUAGGAAACUUCCAAUGACUAAAGCAUGGAUGACUCGAAACUUAAAAUACAGUUUUUAAUAUGGUGCAAGAUUUUUCAGUAAUCUCAACAAAGAUUACAUUAAUUAAGUAAUACGGUUUACGAAAGUCGAUAGUAUUUUAGUAUAAUUUAACCCAAAACAUUAAAAUAUAAAAUCCAAACACUUAAAACAAGAAGAAAGCAAUGAAUGUGCAUAUGCAAUGGUGUCUGCAGCAAUUAUAAAAUGCCCACAUUGUACUUUGUUACAGAAACCAGUUUGACAAUCUGUUUAUGCUUGGUUUUUUUUAAUGUAUCUUUGUGCAGAUCCUAUCACAAUCAUGAGAUUUCCAUUUCCUAAUUUAUUUAAUUAAGCCAUUUUUAAUUAAAUACAUCAGACUUCAGAGUUUGAUGCGUGGUGUUGAAUGAACAAAAACAGAGCAGAACUCUGACCCUUUACAAAAUGAACAAAAUAGCAAGCAGGUCAGGUAUUAGACAUAGUUGGGCCAAGUUGAAGGCGACAUAGCAACCAGUACCAGCUAACCUAAGGCUCACGUACUUUAACUUAGCUCUUUGUGGGUGUUAAUUUUCCAAAGCCACUUCAAAGUUCAAUCAGUGCGAGAAAUGAAAACAAAACCCUAAAAUUAAAAAAAAACAAAGGGAAAUUAGAAGAAACCAAACCUGGCCUUUGGGUAUUAGUCAAUUAGUGUGCUGGAAGAGAAAUGGAUAGCAAAAAUGGUGGAUUUUCCCGAAUGAAAAUCUGAGAUUCAGAUUGAAAAAUGAGAAGUUGAGAACCCGAUGGCAGAUUUGUGAGUUGUGACUUUGUGCUUGGUUGCUUGCUGUCUGUUGAGUGAGUGCUAUUGAGAAAA
rnacentral:lncRNA from 1 species